rnacentral:tRNA from 1 species
AGUUCAUUAGUAUAAAAAGUAUGUUUGAUUUCCAAUCAAGUGGUUGUAUGAAUUA